GACGAACGCUGGCGGCGUGCUUAACACAUGCAAGUCGAACGAAGUGGCGCACGGGUGAGUAACGCGUAAUCAACCUGCCCUUCAGAGGGGGACAACAGUUGGAAACGACUGCUAAUACCGCAUACUGAAGGAGGGGAUUGCGUCUGCUGUGGCAGUUGGAGGGGUAACGGCCCACAAAGGCGAUGAUCAGUAGCCGGUCCGAGAGGAUGAACGGCAACAUUGGGACAGAGACACGGCCCAUACUCCCACGGGAGGCAGCAGUGGGGAAUUUUCCGCAAUUGACGGAAGUCUGACGGAGCAACGCCGCGUGAGAGAUGACGGCCUGCGGGUUGUAAAGCUCUGUUAAUCGGGACGCGGUACCGGAAUAGAAAGCCACGGCUAACUACGUGCCAGCAGCCGCGGUAAUAC
rnacentral:rRNA from 1 species